rnacentral:rRNA from 1 species
GUGAGUAACACGUGGGUAACCUGCCUGUAAGACGGGGAUAACUCCGGGAAACCGGAGCUAAUACCGGAUGAUAACGAGAAGCGCCUGCUUCUUUUUUGAAAGUCGGUUUCGGCUGACGCUUACAGAUGGGCCCGCGGCGCAUUAGCUAGUUGGUGAGGUAACGGCUCACCAAGGCGACGAUGCGUAGCCGACCUGAGAGGGUGAUCGGCCACACUGGGACUGAGACACGGCCCAGACUCCUACGGGAGGCAGCAGUAGGGAAUCUUCGGCAAUGGACGAAAGUCUGACCGAGCAACGCCGCGUGAGCGAUGAAGGCCUUCGGGUCGUAAAGCUCUGUUGUCAGAGAAGAACAAGUACCGGAGUAACUGCCGGUACCUUGACGGUACCUGACCAGAAAGCCACGGCUAACUACGUGCCAGCAGCCGCGGUAAUACGUAGGUGGCAAGCGUUAUCCGGAAUUAUUGGGCGUAAAGCGCGCGCAGGCGGUCUUUUAAGUCUGAUGUGAAAGCCCACGGCUCAACCGUGGAGGGUCAUUGGAAACUGGGGGACUUGAGUGCAGGAGAGAAAAGUGGAAUUCCACGUGUAGCGGUGAAAUGCGUAGAGAUGUGGAGGAACACCAGUGGCGAAGGCGGCUUUUUGGCCUGUAACUGACGCUGAGGCGCGAAAGCGUGGGGAGCAAACAGGAUUAGAUACCCUGGUAGUCCACGCCGUAAACGAUGAGUGCUAGGUGUUGGGGGGUUCCACCCUCAGUGCUGACGUUAACACAUUAAGCACUCCGCCUGGGGAGUACGGCCGCAAGGCUGAAACUCAAAGGAAUUGACGGGGGCCCGCACAAGCAGUGGAGCAUGUGGUUUAAUUCGAAGCAACGCGAAGAACCUUACCAGGUCUUGACAUCCUCUGACCACUUGAGAGAUCAAGCUUUCCCCUUCGGGGGACAAAAUGACAGGUGGUGCAUGGUUGUCGUCAGCUCGUGUCGUGAGAUGUUGGGUUAAGUCCCGCAACGAGCGCAACCCUUGACCUUAGUUGCCAGCAUUCAGUUGGGCACUCUAAGGUGACUGCCGGUGACAAACCGGAGGAAGGUGGGGAUGACGUCAAAUCAUCAUGCCCCUUAUGACCUGGGCUACACACGUGCUACAAUGGGUGGUACAAAGGGUUGCAAACCCGCCAGGCCGACCCAAUCCCAAAAAGCCACUCUCAGUUCGGAUUGUAGGUUGCAACUCGCCUACAUGAAGCCGGAAUUGCUAGUAAUCGCGGAUCAGCAUGC